UACGGAGGGUCCAAGCGUUAUCCGGAAUCAUUGGGCUUAAAGGGUCCGUAGGCGGUUUGGUAAGUCAGUGGUGAAAGCCCAUCGCUCAACGGUGGAACGGCCAUUGAUACUGCUAGACUUGAAUUAUUAGGAAGUAACUAGAAUGUGUAGUGUAGCGGUGAAAUGCUUAGAGAUUACAUGGAAUACCAAUUGCGAAGGCAGGUUACUACUAAUGGAUUGACGCUGAUGGACGAAAGCGUGGGUAGCGAACAGG
rnacentral:rRNA from 1 species